AAAGUCUGACCGAGCAACGCCGCGUGAGUGAAGAAGGUUUUCGGAUCGUAAAGCUCUGUUGUAAGUCAAGAACGUGUGUGAGAGUGGAAAGUUCACACAGUGACGGUAGCUUACCAGAAAGGGACGGCUAACUACGUGCCAGCAGCCGCGGUAAUACGUAGGUCCCGAGCGUUGUCCGGAUUUAUUGGGCGUAAAGGGAGCGCAGGCGGUCAGGAAAGUCUGGAGUAAAAGGCUAUGGCUCAACCAUAGUGUGCUCUGGAAACUGUCUGACUUGAGUGCAGAAGGGGAGAGUGGAAUUCCAUGUGUAGCGGUGAAAUGCGUAGAUAUAUGGAGGAACACCAGUGGCGAAAGCGGCUCUCUGGUCUGUCACUGACGCUGAGGCUCGAAAGCGUGGGUAGCGAACAGGAUUAGAUACCCUGGUAGUCCACGCCGUAAACGAUGAGUGCUAGGUGUUAGGCCCUUUCCGGGGCUUAGUGCCGGAGCUAACGCAAUAAGCACUCCGCCUGGGGAGUACGACCGCAAGGUUGAAACUCAAAGGAAUUGACGGGGGCCCGCACAAGCGGUGGAGCAUGUGGUUUAAUGCGAAGCCACGCGAAGAACCUUACCAGGUCUUGACAUCCCGAUGCUAUUCUUAGAGAUAGGAAGUUACUUCGGUACAUCGGAGACAGGUGGUGCAUGG
rnacentral:rRNA from 1 species